rnacentral:rRNA from 1 species
UACGUAGGGUGCGAGCGUGUCCGGAAUUAUUGGGCGUAAAGAGCUCGUAGGCGGUCUGUCGCGUCGAAUGUGAAAACCCGGGGCUCAACUCCGGGCUUGCAUUCGAUACGGGCAGGCUAGAGUUCGGUAGGGGAGUCUGGAAUUCCUGGUGUAGCGGUGAAAUGCGCAGAUAUCAGGAGGAACACCGGUGGCGAAGGCGGGACUCUGGGCCGAUACUGACGCUGAGGAGCGAAAGCGUGGGGAGCGAACAGG